AGGCGAAACACCGGAGGACCGGUGUCGUCGUGGCGUGGUGGUCACGGCCUGACGAGCCAGCCGCUC
rnacentral:hammerhead_ribozyme from 1 species